UAGGGCGAGCCUGACGCAGCACGCCGCGUGGAUGAUGAAGUCCUUCGGGAUGUAAAGUCCUUUUGCAGAGGAAGAACAUGCUGGUUUGCCGGUGUGAAGGGACUCUUCGAAUGAUCCCCGGGUAACUCUGGGCCCGCCACCGCGGUUAUUCCGGGGUUGGAAGGCUUGUCCGGAUUUACUGGGUGUAAAGGGGGCGCAAGGGGAAUUUUAAGGCCCGGGGUAAAACCAUGUGCUCUACACAUGGCCCUCUUUCCAAACUGGUUAUCCAGAG
rnacentral:rRNA from 1 species